GGAGUUAUGAAAUGUAGAUUCGCUAAUAUCGGGUCUAUUUGACGAAGGCUCCAAAGGAAGCCACGGCUAACUCUGUGCCAGCAGCCGCGGUAAUACAGAGGUGGCAAGCGUUGUUCGGAAUUAUUGGGCGUAAAGAGCACGUAGGUGGAUUUGUAAGUCAGAUGUGAAAGCCUUCUGUUCAACGGGAGAAUUGCAUCUGAAACUACAGACCUUGAGUAUAGGAGGGGAGAGUG
rnacentral:rRNA from 2 species